rnacentral:rRNA from 1 species
UGCAGUCGAGCGCGCCUUUCGGGGUGAGCGGCGGACGGGUUAGUAACGCGUGGGAAUAUACCCUUUGGUACGGAAUAGCCUCUGGAAACGGAGAGUAAUACCGUAUGAGCCCUUCGGGGGAAAGAUUUAUCGCCAAAGGAUUAGCCCGCGUUAGAUUAGGUAGUUGGUGGGGUAAUGGCCUACCAAGCCUACGAUCUAUAGCUGGUUUUAGAGGAUGAUCAGCAACACUGGGACUGAGACACGGCCCAGACUCCUACGGGAGGCAGCAGUGGGGAAUCUUGGACAAUGGGGGCAACCCUGAUCCAGCCAUGCCGCGUGAGUGAUGAAGGCCUUAGGGUCGUAAAGCUCUUUCGCCUGUGAAGAUAAUGACGGUAGCAGGUAAAGAAACCCCGGCUAACUCCGUGCCAGCAGCCGCGGUAAUACGGAGGGGGUUAGCGUUGUUCGGAAUUACUGGGCGUAAAGCGCACGUAGGCGGACUGGAAAGUUGGGGGUGAAAUCCCGGGGCUCAACCCCGGAACUGCCUCCAAAACUAUCAGUCUAGAGUUCGAGAGAGGUGAGUGGAAUUCCGAGUGUAGAGGUGAAAUUCGUAGAUAUUCGGAGGAACACCAGUGGCGAAGGCGGCUCACUGGCUCGAUACUGACGCUGAGGUGCGAAAGUGUGGGGAGCAAACAGGAUUAGAUACCCUGGUAGUCCACACCGUACACGAUGAAUGCCAGUCGUCGGGUAGCAUGCUAUUCGGUGACACACCUAACGGAUUAAGCAUUCCGCCUGGGGAGUACGGUCGCAAGAUUAAAACUCAAAGGAAUUGACGGGGGCCCG